rnacentral:rRNA from 1 species
UACGGAGGGUGCGAGCGUUGUCCGGAAUCACUGGGCGUAAAGGGCGCGUAGGCGGCCGAGCAAGGUCGCGGUGAAAGCCCCGGGCUCAACCUGGGAAUGGCAUUGAGGACUGUGGACUAGAGUGCGGCAGAGGGAGGUGGAAUUCCACGUGUAGCAGUGAAAAUGCGUAGAGAUGUGGAGGAACACCGAUGGCGAAGGCAGCCUCCUGGGCCGACACUGACGCUGAGGGCACGAAAGCGUGGGGAGCAAACAGG